AAGGAAGAUCCCUUACGGUGCCCGCUCAUGGGCAACAGCCGUUUCGGAUCAUCUUGGAACAUGGCUUGGUCCUUUGGAUCAAAGCCGCAACUAUCAAGGCGGGUGUCGCCGUCUUCGUUUCUCUUUCUUCGCAAAACGCGUGAUCAGCGCUCGAGUGCUGGCCUGCCGGCUACGCCUUUGGGUCAUGCCGGUAGGGCUUUUCGUUCGCCGGGCUCCUUCUUGACCGGAGCGGAGCGAGGGCCUGUAGCUCAGUCGGUUAGAGCGCACCCCUGAUAAGGGUGAGGUCGGUAGUUCGAAUCUACCCAGGCCCACCAUCCGCUAUUUAGGGGUGGUCAAGCCCGGCCGAUCUUUCGAUCCUCGGGAGGCUGGGGAGGCUCGUCUUUCGGGGCCAUAGCUCAGCUGGGAGAGCGCCUGCUUUGCAAGCAGGAGGUCGUCGGUUCGAUCCCGUCUGGCUCCACCAUUCUUCAUAUGGCGGAUGCCACGGGAGAGGAUUGCGCGUUUCGAAGAAAGCCGAGAUUUGCGAUGGCGUGGCUCGUGCCGCGCCGGAAGCAGGAUUUCUGACAUCGUGAAGAGAAGAUAUGUCCGGGCAUGCCUGGUCGUUCCUUGCAAGAGGGCGUUCCGUGGCUGGCGGGCAAAUCUCGUGUGACACUGGUCUUUCCGGUCCCUUUUGCCUUUCAGGCGAAAGUGGACCGUCAUGUUCGCCUAUAGCGUCCUCUGACCGGGACGCUGCUCUCAAUCCUUCGCAAGAAGGGUGGGCGAGCAUGGAUAAUGAGAGCGA
rnacentral:tRNA from 1 species